GGGUUGUGAGGUUAAGCGACUAAGCGUACACGGUGGAUGCCCUGGCAGUCAGAGGCGAUGAAGGACGUGCUAAUCUGCGAAAAGCGUCGGUAAGGUGAUAUGAACCGUUAUAACCGGCGAUGUCCGAAUGGGGAAACCCAGUGCAAUUCGUUGCACUAUCGUUAACUGAAUACAUAGGUUAACGAGGCGAACCGGGGGAACUGAAACAUCUAAGUACCCCGAGGAAAAGAAAUCAACCGAGAUUCCCCCAGUAGCGGCGAGCGAACGGGGAGCAGCCCAGAGUCUGAAUCAGCUUGUGUGUUAGUGGAACGGUCUGGAAAGUCCGACGGUACAGGGUGAUAGUCCCGUACACCAAAAUGCACAGGCUGUGAACUCGAAGAGUAGGGCGGGACACGUGGUAUCCUGUCUGAAUAUGGGGGGACCAUCCUCCAAGGCUAAAUACUCCUGACUGACCGAUAGUGAACCAGUACCGUGAGGGAAAGGCGAAAAGAACCCCGGCGAGGGGAGUGAAAAAGAACCUGAAACCGUGUACGUACAAGCAGUGGGAGCACCUUCGGGUGUGACUGCGUACCUUUUGUAUAAUGGGUCAGCGACUUAUAUUCUGUAGCAAGGUUAACCGUAUAGGGGAGCCGCAGGGAAACCGAGUCUUAACUGGGCGUUAAGUUGCAGGGUAUAGACCCGAAACCCGGUGAUCUAGCCAUGGGCAGGUUGAAGGUUGGGUAACACUAACUGGAGGACCGAACCGACUAAUGUUGAAAAAUUAGCGGAUGACUUGUGGCUGGGGGUGAAAGGCCAAUCAAACCGGGAGAUAGCUGGUUCUCCCCGAAAGCUAUUUAGGUAGCGCCUCGUGAACUCAUCUUCGGGGGUAGAGCACUGUUUCGGCUAGGGGGUCAUCCCGACUUACCAACCCGAUGCAAACUACGAAUACCGAAGAAUGUUAUCACGGGAGACACACGGCGGGUGCUAACGUCCGUCGUGAAGAGGGAAACAACCCAGACCGCCAGCUAAGGUCCCAAAGUCAUGGUUAAGUGGGAAACGAUGUGGGAAGGCACAGACAGCCAGGAUGUUGGCUUAGAAGCAGCCAUCAUUUAAAGAAAGCGUAAUAGCUCACUGGUCGAGUCGGCCUGCGCGGAAGAUGUAACGGGGCUAAACCAUGCACCGAAGCUGCGGCAGCGACACUAUGUGUUGUUGGGUAGGGGAGCGUUCUGUAAGCCUGCGAAGGUGACCUGUGAGGGUUGCUGGAGGUAUCAGAAGUGCGAAUGCUGACAUAAGUAACGAUAAAGCGGGUGAAAAGCCCGCUCGCCGGAAGACCAAGGGUUCCUGUCCAACGUUAAUCGGGGCAGGGUGAGUCGACCCCUAAGGCGAGGCCGAAAGGCGUAGUCGAUGGGAAACAGGUUAAUAUUCCUGUACUUGGUGUUACUGCGAAGGGGGGACGGAGAAGGCUAUGUUAGCCGGGCGACGGUUGUCCCGGUUUAAGCAUGUAGGCUGGUUAUCCAGGCAAAUCCGGAUAAUCAAGGCUGAGGUGUGAUGACGAGGCACUACGGUGCUGAAGUAACAAAUGCCCUGCUUCCAGGAAAAGCCUCUAAGCAUCAGGUAACAUCAAAUCGUACCCCAAACCGACACAGGUGGUCAGGUAGAGAAUACCAAGGCGCUUGAGAGAACUCGGGUGAAGGAACUAGGCAAAAUGGUGCCGUAACUUCGGGAGAAGGCACGCUGGUGUGUAGGUGAAGUCCCUGCGGAUGGAGCUGAGACCAGUCGAAGAUACCAGCUGGCUGCAACUGUUUAUUAAAAACACAGCACUGUGCAAACACGAAAGUGGACGUAUACGGUGUGACGCCUGCCCGGUGCCGGAAGGUUAAUUGAUGGGGUUAUCCGUAAGGAGAAGCUCUUGAUCGAAGCCCCGGUAAACGGCGGCCGUAACUAUAACGGUCCUAAGGUAGCGAAAUUCCUUGUCGGGUAAGUUCCGACCUGCACGAAUGGCGUAAUGAUGGCCAGGCUGUCUCCACCCGAGACUCAGUGAAAUUGAACUCGCUGUGAAGAUGCAGUGUACCCGCGGCAAGACGGAAAGACCCCGUGAACCUUUACUAUAGCUUGACACUGAACAUUGAGCCUUGAUGUGUAGGAUAGGUGGGAGGCUUUGAAGCGUGGACGCCAGUCUGCGUGGAGCCAACCUUGAAAUACCACCCUUUAAUGUUUGAUGUUCUAACGUUGGCCCCUGACCGGGGUUGCGGACAGUGUCUGGUGGGUAGUUUGACUGGGGCGGUCUCCUCCCAAAGCGUAACGGAGGAGCACGAAGGUUAGCUAAUCCUGGUCGGACAUCAGGAGGUUAGUGCAAUGGCAUAAGCUAGCUUGACUGCGAGCGUGACGGCGCGAGCAGGUGCGAAAGCAGGUCAUAGUGAUCCGGUGGUUCUGAAUGGAAGGGCCAUCGCUCAACGGAUAAAAGGUACUCCGGGGAUAACAGGCUGAUACCGCCCAAGAGUUCAUAUCGACGGCGGUGUUUGGCACCUCGAUGUCGGCUCAUCACAUCCUGGGGCUGAAGUAGGUCCCAAGGGUAUGGCUGUUCGCCAUUUAAAGUGGUACGCGAGCUGGGUUUAGAACGUCGUGAGACAGUUCGGUCCCUAUCUGCCGUGGGCGCUGGAGAAUUGAGGGGGGCUGCUCCUAGUACGAGAGGACCGGAGUGGACGCAUCACUGGUGUUCGGGUUGUCAUGCCAAUGGCACUGCCCGGUAGCUAAAUGCGGAAGAGAUAAGUGCUGAAAGCAUCUAAGCACGAAACUUGCCCCGAGAUGAGUUCUCCCUGAGACUUUAAGUCUCCUGAAGGAACGUUGAAGACGACGACGUUGAUAGGCCGGGUGUGUAAGCGCAGCGAUGCGUUGAGCUAACCGGUACUAAUGAACCGUGAGGCUUAACCUUACAACGCCGAAG
rnacentral:rRNA from 2 species